GGGGAUGUAAUGGUCUCGACGGGGGUUUUGAAAAUAGGGAUAGCCAUCCGCAGACGGUAACUGCGAAUCAAUACCGCCCCUUUUUUAAAGAACCGACAAUAAUAAUUACGCAUUUGCGGCUUAAGUAAAGCCGUCGUCGGACCGGAGAGACCUGCAUAUCCGGAAUCCGGCGCCGACAUGCAGGGAACUUUUCCGCCCGUAGCUUUGAAGCGGUAAAAGAUUAAAAAGCUACCCAAACCUCUCGCGUGUUGGUUCGCGGUUGGCAAGGGGAACACGCGCGGACCGCCGCGCACGGCGCAGUUGCUAACGCUUCCCGCGCCGCCAAAUAAACCAACUGUGAUGGGAGAAGUCCUUAUCUAUGAGCUUUCGGACACGGGUUCGAUUCCCGUCAUCUCCAUAG
rnacentral:tmRNA from 1 species